GGGAGCACUGGUGAUCUGAUGCCUGUAGGAGGGAGACAGAGGGCGCUUCGGAAUUGCCCCAUAUAGGAUUCAAAAGUCUCUGCAUCAGCUAGGUGAACUGAUGAGUUGAGAGGAAUGUGGCGCCAUACUUCUUUGGCAAAGGGGCACUGGAAGAAUAUAUGGGUAGCUGAUUCCUCUUUCUUACAGCGGGGGCAAGCAGCAGCAUUGAUCAUACCUCGACGUUGGAGUUCUGAUCCUAGAGCCAGUCGAAUUCCAGGUUAGGAGGAGGAUUUGAGGUUCUCUGUUGCAGGUGUGUGUGUGCAUUGAGCUGGGUUUUAGAGUUGUAACCCGACUUAGUGGAGUAGACACCAGACUCAAGGGGGAGCCACACGUAAAUAUCCUCUGCACCUUCCUUGCUUGGCUUAAGACACUGGAUCUGCUUUGUAAAGUCUGGUGUUCUUGGAGUAGGUCUCUACCGUGCAAAAUGCUCCUCCAUCCAUGCGAGCAAACUGCUGGGGUCUGUACAUCCAGGAAGCUUUUCUUAUGGCAAUACUUCCCGGUGAGUACUCUAGCUAGAAGGCAGUGUGGUGAUGUUAAUAUUCUCCAAGCUACUUUUGCAAGUAACGCUUGAUUAAACCGUUGGAUAUCUCGCAACCCAAGACCUCCUGCCUUUUUUGGUCGUAGGCUCUGGGGUAGUAUGAAGCAAGACAUUGCAUAGGUUGGGAUAGCUGUAAGGACCGCUUUGAGCAUGGUGAGCUUGCCUGCUCUCGAGAGGAAGCGUGUUGACCAGUUCGCAGCUCUCUGUCGGAUUCUAUCAACUAUCGAGUAUCCGUAGUAAGGCUAGGCAGCUUUCUGAAGUUGAGUUGCAGAAAAUCAUUGUAUCGUCAGCAAAAAGUAGAUGAUUGACUCGGGGGCAGCCUCUAGCAACUCGAACUCCCCGCAUUGAUCCUUCUAACUCCGCUUUUCUGCAAAGGCCUGAGAGGACCUCUCCGCAUAGGAUGAACAAGUACGGCGAGAUCGGAUCUCCUUGCCUGAUUCCACGGAAUAAAAGCGGAUUGGUUCUCUGAGAUUAUGGAGCAAAGUAUGGGUUUCAGGCGCAAGGAUAGGAGCUUAGAGAUGACUUUAUAGUACACAUUGCACAAAGCUAUAGGUCGGUAUUCAUCCACUCUUUUCGCUCCUAAUGUCUUAGGGAUCAGCCUAACAUGAGUCACAUUCAAUGUUGGUGACAAUACGCCCGUGGAGAAGAACUCUUGGAUCUCAGUGAUGAUCGAUUGGCCGAUGGUCUCCCAAUUUGAGUGGAAGAAACUUGCUGAGAACCCGUCAGGCCCGGGAGCCUUAUCUGCGUGGAUUGCAAAGAGUGCUUCUUUUAUUUCAGCCGGUGAUGGGUCUCUGUGAAGAGGUUGUCAUAGUAGGAACAGACUAACGCUGAGAUUUGGUCUUCUUCAUAGACAGCUUGCACCAUUUACAAAUUGCUCUGCGGACUAAGACGAGUCUAGCCUCUACUCCAAGGUAGGAGAGGAUAGGGCGGUGAUCAGAUCCCUCGAAUUUAAGAUAUUGACAGCGGCAGGAGGGGAAGAGCUCCAUCCAUUCUGGGUUGCUCAUAGCUCUGUCGAGGCGACAUCUAACAAGGUGUGCACCUCUUUUACCCCUCCAAGAGAAAGGGUUACCAGAAUGUUUGAGAUCAAACAGGUCAUUUUCAGAUAGGAAUGUUCUGAAGGCUCCAAAGGUGCCUUCUGCUCUCUCUGGUCCUCCUUUUUUCUCACUAUUAUCUUGCAGUUCAUUGAAAUCCCCUGUUAAGAACCAAGGUUCCUUUAGGUUAGCAUGUAGAGUAGUUAGCUCGUUCCAGACUGCAUUACGUUUUGUGUGAUCAGGUUCUCCGUAAAGAAAGGUAGUCAGGAAGCUCUUUCCUUUGGAACUGAUUCUCGUUUCAAUGAAGUUGUCUGUCGUAGAAAGGACAGUAAGAUCAAUGUCUUUUUUCCAACUGAGAAUCAGACCACCACCGCCGGGGCUAUGGGGGGGAACUAUGCAGUUAUUUUCCUCUUUCAGCCAGGGGAGUUCCUUCCUAAUCAUCUCUUCUGAGUUCUUUGUUUCCAUUAGGAACACUAUGUCAGGAGACUUCCUUUUCCGAAGCUCCUUCAGACGCUGGACUGUUAUGGGGUUCCCCAACCCACAACAGUUCCAGCUCAGAACGACUAAGGAGCCUGGGGAGGGGGAACCCGAAAAUCCAUUUUCUUCUUCGACAUAGCUGGAAUUAGUUGGAUAGGUGGGUUCUUUGGGUUCUCUGAUGCCUUGUUACCCGACUUUGAAGCUUCCCCGCGAGUACGUCCUUUGUUUGGACAUUAGUUCCGCUUCGUGGUGAUCUUGCUUUAUGAUGUCGCACCGUUCUUUCCCUUACUUUGUUUUGGAAGUCAUUAAGAGUUUCUUCCUCCUGCAGCUCAGGGAUUAACUGUUGUUGCAGAGGAGAUGUUUCCGUCGUCUCAGGGGGGCUAACAAUAAUUGAUCUAAUGCGUGCAGGGUGUUCUCUGACUUCUUGCACCCGGAGAGUGUUAAUUUGGGCAGGUUCAACACUAUAAGGUGGGUCAAAGCCUAGAUCUUCUUCUUCUCUUGGGAUGGGGGUGAAGAUUUGGUCUUGACGUAGUCCCAUAAGAGACCCCUCUCCCGGUGGGCUUAUUGACUUGAUGCCUUGCUCCCAAGGUGAAAGCGGGCGUCUCGGGGUUGUUUCCGAAGCUAGGAUUGAAGCUGCUGUCUUUUCCACUAAGCCUGACGCCUCACUGUUAAGGACCCGUUGUCUCCUAGCUGCAGCUUCAGUAGGAUCUGAACAGCUAAGGCGCUAGGUAGUUCUCUCGGCGGCCUUGGGCUUUUAGCAGUGCAGCUGUGGUCUCUUCUACCUGGCCUCUAUCAUCUCCAAACUUUACUCUCUGCCUUCUGGCUGCUGCCUCUGUGGGGUCUGAGCAGCUCAGGUACAGCAUAGUUGCUUCGUGAAGGUCCUUUUGAAUUUCCUCUUCAGUUUGUUGUCCCUCUGAGCUUUGGUGGUAUUGGAGUUGUAGAGGUUCGGUUCUGGAGUCACGACGCUCCAAAUGAUUUGAGCUAUCUUUUUGUGCUUCAGGGACCGUUACUGUCGUAGGUUUUACUCUCCAUUCUUUGAGUUCCCUUUGUGGGAAAGGGGCCCGCUUGUAGUGUUCUCUUAUUGCAGCUGGUUCUCUUCUUGUUGUGUAGGAAGGAGAUGAGUAGAUCACGGGUUCCGGUUCUUUGAGGUUAGAAUCUUUCCUCCAAGUUUCUGCUAUAUCGCUUUUGGACAUCAUGUUUUUUGUGGGAGGUGGAACUCUUGUUUGUUUUGUAGCGACUCUAGUACCAAAGCUAUUGCCAUGUCUGUCAACUCUAUCUUUGAAAGGCCUAGGGCUUCUGGUUUCUCUGGUCGUAGUCCCCUGCUUUUCUCCCUCACGAUGCAAUGAGGUGUGAUCUUGUUCCAUGUUGCUGUAGAGGAGGGGUCUGGCAUUAGAAAGAUCUCUCUCGCUCAUCUCUCUCACCUUUGUUUCCUGGUGCUGAGUUGUAGCUUGGUUAUCUCCUGUGAAGCUAGGACAAUCUUUCUUGAGAUGGGAGAGGGCAUUGCAGAGGGAGCAGUGGUUCUCUAGGCGCUCGUAUUCCAGAUGAAUUAAGCUUUCCUCUCCAGAGUCAAACUCGACGAUGGAUUUUUUAACCAAUGGUUUAAGUCCAUCGACUAGAACCUGGAUUCUCGCCAAGGUUUUUGUGAGCUCAUGAUUCAUGAGUGUUCCCAGAUCCUUCCCUAUGUCGCGCAGCAUAUCUUCAUGCCAGAAGUGGAGGGGUAGUCCUUUUAUUCGGAUCCAGAACGGGAUCUGCGAGGGGAAAGUCGCUGAGAUGACUGGUUCCCAUCGUUGGAGUAUGACCAUCCAGUACGCAAAGUGGUAGGGUCUGUUUUCCAGAACUCGCUUUAGAUCUUCUUCUCUUUCAAAUCUGAAUUGGAAGCAGCCAUUUCCCAGAUCUGAGCCUGAUACUCUCCCUUGUAGUUGCCAUUUGCGUGGGAGGGCAGGGAUAAGAGCCCAAAUUCUCUGUUCCUGAGGGUUAGUGGUUCUUCCAAUCAGUGUGAGCGCAUUAUCUUUGAUGAGAGCAGAGUUAUCAACGUAGGGCGCCUUGAUUCGUUUGAUAAGAGGUUCAUCUUUCUCUACCAGUUGGUUUUUGCCUUUCUCAUCCCAUGUCAAUCUUCUUGCCAUCUUUACUUUUCAGUAAUCUGGUGAGACGGAAGUCUUGUUCUGCACGGAAGUGGGGAUGUUAGAUACCAGCUUGACGUUUCUUGAGUGUAUUAGAUGCUAGAUGCAAAAGAAAGCCGUAGAUCUGUGGAGUAAAACUUGUUGAGGCAUGAGGUUUGAAAAGAUGAGCUUCGUGGAGGAUGCUACUUGAGGUAAAGAAGUAGGGUUUUCAUCAAAGAGCCAUGAAGAAACCGAUGAGAACUUUCCGGUUUGAGCAAAGAUACGAGUAGUCACUGUCCUGCUUUCAACCGUUGUCUAAAGUCGUCUCUCUUACUUUGGGAAUAGUGCCUGGGAGAGUCCUUUCUCACCGAGGCGUAUAAAGAUGAU